ACCUCGGGAAACUGAGAAUAAUACCCGAUAGGUCAUGAUGCCUGGAAUGGUUUAUGACUCAAAUAAUUUAUUGCCGUAGGAUGGGACUGCGAGCUAUCAGCUUGUUGGUGAGGUAAUGGCCCACCAAGGCUAUUACAGCUACGGGCUCUGAGAGGAGUAGCCCGGAGAUGGGUACUGAGACAAGGACCCAGGCCCUAUGGGGCGCAGCAGGCGAGAAAACUUUGCAAUGCGCGAAAGCUCGACAAGGUUAAUCUGAGUGGUUCCUGCUAAAGGAACCUUUUGUUAGUCGUAGAGACCACUGAUGCAUAAGGGGUGGGCAAA
rnacentral:rRNA from 1 species